GCCGGAAUGGUGGAAUUGGUAGACACGCGAGACUUAAAAUCUCGUGCUCUUCGGGGCGUGUGGGUUCAAGUCCCACUUCUGGUA
rnacentral:tRNA from 1 species